rnacentral:tRNA from 1 species
GGGGUUAUAGCUCAGUGGUAGGACGCUUUUUAGCCUGGAAGAGGUCUGGGGUUCAAUUCCCCAUACCUCCA